UACAGAGGGGGCAAGCGUUGUUCGGAAUUACUGGGCGUAAAGGGCGCGUAGGCGGCCUGCUAAGUCGAACGUGAAAUCCCCGGGCUCAACCCGGGAACUGCGUCCGAUACUGGCAGGCUUGAAUCCGGGAGAGGGAUGCGGAAUUCCAGGUGUAGCGGUGAAAUACGUAGAUAUCUGGAGGAAUACCGGUGGCGAAGGCGGUUAUCUGGCCCAACAUUGACACUGAGACCCGAAAGCGUGGGGAUCAAACAGG
rnacentral:rRNA from 1 species